ensembl:snRNA U6 U6 spliceosomal RNA
GUGCUCGCUUCGGCAACACACAUACUAAAAUUGGAAUGAUGCAGAGAAGAUUAGCAUGGCCCCUGCACAAGGAUGACACGCAAAUUUGUGAAGUGUUCCAUAUUUUU